GGGCGGAUAGCUCAGCGGGAGAGCGCCUGCCUUACACGCAGGAUGUCGUAGGUUCGAUCCCUAUUCCGCCCACCA
rnacentral:tRNA from 1 species